UACGUAGGGCGCAAGCGUUGUCCGGAUUUAUUGGGCGUAAAGAGCGUGUAGGCGGUUAUGCAGGUCCGCUGUGAAAACUGGAGGCUUAACCUCCAGACGUCGGUGGAAACCGUAUAACUAGAGUCCGGAAGAGGAGAGUGGAAUUCCUGGUGUAGCGGUGAAAUGCGCAGAUAUCAGGAAGAACACCCGUGGCGAAGGCGGCUCUCUGGGACGGUACUGACGCUGAGACGCGAAAGCGUGGGGAGCGAACAGG
rnacentral:rRNA from 1 species